CACGUAGGGCGCAAGCGUGUCCGGAAUUAUUGGGCGUAAAGAGCUCGUAGGCGGUCUGUUGCGUCCGCUGUGAAAACUCGGGGCUUAACCCCGAGCCUGCAGUGGAUACGGGGCAGACUAGAGGUAGGUAGGGGAGAAUGGAAUUCCCGGUGUAGCGGGUGAAAAUGCGCAGAUAUCGGGAGGAACACCCGGUGGCGAAGGCGGUUCUCUGGGCCUUACCUGACGCUGAGAAGCGAAAGCGUGGGGAGCGAACAGG
rnacentral:rRNA from 1 species